GAAAAAAGAACACUAUCACACUCGGAUUUUUGUGGGCAUCUUGUUCGGAAAUUAGAUAGAAUUCAAGGAGUUCAGUGAAAACAUAAAAUAGAUUUAAGGACUUGAAAAAAAUAAAAAAUAAAUAAGAGAAGUAGAGAGGGGGGCCUCCAAUGUUUUCACACUUUCUGUUUGUUCAUUUUUAGCUCUAAAGCAAUUUUGUCUGUAGAUUCAGAAAGAUAAAAUCCCACUUCCAAAGACCCAAAACAAAACUCCAAAAAGGAAAGUUGAUGGUAAAAAUUUGAGAGCAAAAGGAGCUAAAAAAAAAGCAGCUUCAAACAUUAAAAGAU
rnacentral:lncRNA from 1 species